CCCUUAGAGUUUGAUCCUGGCUCAGGAUGAACGCUGGCGGCGUGCUUAACACAUGCAAGUCGAACGAAGCUGCUUAACUGAUCUUCUUCGGAAUUGACGUUUUGUAGACUGAGUGGCGGACGGGUGAGUAACGCGUGGGUAACCUGCCCCGUACAGGGGGAUAACAGUCAGAAAUGACUGCUAAUACCGCAUAAGACCACAGCACCGCAUGGUGCAGGGGUAAAAACUCCGGUGGUACGGGAUGGACCCGCGCCUGAUUAGCUGGUUGGUGAGGUAACGGCUCACCAAGGCGACGAUCAGUAGCCGGCUUGAGAGAGUGAACGGCCACAUUGGGACUGAGACACGGCCCAAACUCCUACGGGAGGCAGCAGUGGGGAAUAUUGCACAAUGGGGGGAACCCUGAUGCAGCGACGCCGCGUGAGUGAAGAAGUAUCUCGGUAUGUAAAGCUCUAUCAGCAGGGAAGAAAAUGACGGUACCUGACUAAGAAGCCCCGGCUAUUACG
rnacentral:rRNA from 1 species